CAUACACCAAAUAUACUAGACCUAUUGCUUAUAGUAUGAUAAGUAUCUGAGAUAUGGACUUGACCACCAAAACUUAACCUUGUUCACUGAUCCAUGAAAUGGGGUCAAGGUCAAGUGAAAACUGUCUGACGGGUAUAAGAACCUUGCAAUGUACGCAUAUAUACCAAAUAUAGUUAUCCUAUUACUUAUAAUAAGGGAGAAUUUAUCAUUACAAAAAAUCUUAACUUUUUUUUCAAGUACAGGUAGUCAUUGAACCAUGAAAAUGAGGUCAAGGACAUUAGACAUGUGACUGACGGAAACUUCGUAACAUGAGGCAUCCAUUUACAAAGUAUGAAGCAUCCAGGUUUUCCUCCGUCUAAAAUAUAAAGCUUUAAAGAACUCUUUGGCACAUUCCCCAUUUCCAUUCUCAAUUU
rnacentral:lncRNA from 1 species